rnacentral:lncRNA from 10 species
CCAUGUAAGACGUGCCUGCUUCUCCUUCAUCUUCUGCCAUAAUUAUGAAGAAAAGGAGGCUCAGAGAGUUUAAGAAACUUACCCUCCUCACACCAUGGAUAACAGGCAGAGCCAAAAGCAAAUGCAGGUCAGUGUGACCCUACACUCAAAGCCUGGGACUCACCCUGCAACAGGCUGGGUGAGGAGCCUUAGGGGCACCUGAGCUUUUGAAGCCACUCUGAUGAUGAAGACGUUGAUGCUCAAAAGUCGCUAAUGAGAAGCUGAGCCAAGAGUCAGAUCCAAAGUCCUUCCAGCUCUGAAGCCUGCAUUGUUUCCAACGCAUGAUGUUGUCUGAAUGGUGAGCAAUGGAAGACAGAAGAUACUAACAUGGUAGAAAUUAUCCUGAGUGGGGAGAGAGAAGGCCCUGGGGUGCUGCGAGUGUCCUGGGCAGGCAGCAGGGAGCCCCUUUAGCCCUGACUAGCUUGGUUGCAUUUCUGAUGGGUUUGACAUCAACAGGCUCUGCUGAGUCCCAAUUUGGCUAGGUACCACCACUUGUAGCACAGGGCAGAUCACUCCAAUGCCUGCAGCAUUCAUUUCUCAAUUUUCAAAUAAAACUAGCUUUGUUUGAAGGACAAAGUGAGAUGAUUUUUGACAGCACUGGGUAGAUGCAAUAACACUUUGC